rnacentral:rRNA from 1 species
ACAUGCAAGUCGAACGCUUCUUUCCUCCCGAGUGCUUGCACUCAAUUGGAAAGAGGAGUGGCGGACGGGUGAGUAACACGUGGGUAACCUACCCAUCAGAGGGGGAUAACACUUGGAAACAGGUGCUAAUACCGCAUAACAGUUUAUGCCGGGACCCGCGGUGCAUUAGCUAGUUGGUGAGGUAACGGCUCACCAAGGCGACGAUGCAUAGCCGACCUGAGAGGGUGAUCGGCCACACUGGGACUGAGACACGGCCCAGACUCCUACGGGAGGCAGCAGUAGGGAAUCUUCGGCAAUGGACGAAAGUCUGACCGAGCAACGCCGCGUGAGUGAAGAAGGUUUUCGGAUCGUAAAACUCUGUUGUUAGAGAAGAACAAGGACGUUAGUAACUGAACGUCCCCUGACGGUAUCUAACCAGAAAGCCACGGCUAACUACGUGCCAGCAGCCGCGGUAAUACGUAGGUGGCAAGCGUUGUCCGGAUUUAUUGGGCGUAAAGCGAGCGCAGGCGGUUUCUUAAGUCUGAUGUGAAAGCCCCCGGCUCAACCGGGNNGGGUCAUUGGAAACUGGGAGACUUGAGUGCAGAAGAGGAGAGUGGAAUUCCAUGUGUAGCGGUGAAAUGCGUAGAUAUAUGGAGGAACACCAGUGGCGAAGGCGGCUCUCUGGUCUGUAACUGACGCUGAGGCUCGAAAGCGUGGGGAGCAAACAGGAUUAGAUACCCUGGUAGUCCACGCCGUAAACGAUGAGUGCUAAGUGUUGGAGGGUUUCCGCCCUUCAGUGCUGCAGCAAACGCAUUAAGCACUCCGCCUGGGGAGUACGACCGCAAGGUUGAAACUCAAAGGAAUUGACGGGGGCCCGCACAAGCGGUGGAGCAUGUGGUUUAAUUCGAAGCAACGCGAAGAACCUUACCAGGUCUUGACAUCCUUUGACCACUCUAGAGAUAGAGCUUUCCCUUCGGGGACAAAGUGACAGGUGGUGCAUGGUUGUCGUCAGCUCGUGUCGUGAGAUGUUGGGUUAAGUCCCGCAACGAGCGCAACCCUUAUUGUUAGUUGCCAUCAUUUAGUUGGGCACUCUAGCGAGACUGCCGGUGACAAACCGGAGGAAGACGUCAAAUCAUCAUGCCCCUUAUGACCUGGGCUACACACGUGCUACAAUGGGAAGUACAACGAGUCGCUAGACCGCGAGGUCAUGCAAAUCUCUUAAAGCUUCUCUCAGUUCGGAUUGCAGGCUGCAACUCGCCUGCAUGAAGCCGGAAUGGGGGGGGGGGGAUCGCGGAUCAGCACGCCGCGGUGAAUACGUUCCCGGGCCUUGUACACACCGCCCGUCACACCACGAGAGUUUGUAACACCCGAAGUCGGUGAGGUAACCUUUUUGGAGCCAGCCGCCUAAGGGGGGGGGGGGGGGGGCCCCCCCCGUGGGAUA